rnacentral:rRNA from 1 species
AAAUUGAAGAGUUUGAUCAUGGCUCAGAUUGAACGCUGGCGGCAGGCCUAACACAUGCAAGUCGAACGGUAACAGGAAGCAGCUUGCUGCUUUGCUGACGAGUGGCGGACGGGUGAGUAAUGUCUGGGAAACUGCCUGAUGGAGGGGGAUAACUACUGGAAACGGUGGCUAAUACCGCAUAACGUCGCAAGACCAAAGAGGGGGACCUUCGGGCCUCUUGCCAUCAGAUGUGCCCAGAUGGGAUUAGCUUGUUGGUGAGGUAACGGCUCACCAAGGCGACGAUCCCUAGCUGGUCUGAGAGGAUGACCAGCCACACUGGAACUGAGACACGGUCCAGACUCCUACGGGAGGCAGCAGUGGGGAAUAUUGCACAAUGGGCGCAAGCCUGAUGCAGCCAUGCCGCGUGUAUGAAGAAGGCCUUCGGGUUGUAAAGUACUUUCAGCGGGGAGGAAGGUGUUGCGGUUAAUAACCGCAGCAAUUGACGUUACCCGCAGAAGAAGCACCGGCUAACUCCGUGCCAGCAGCCGCGGUAAUACGGAGGGUGCAAGCGUUAAUCGGAAUUACUGGGCGUAAAGCGCACGCAGGCGGUCUGUCAAGUCGGAUGUGAAAUCCCCGGGCUCAACCUGGGAACUGCAUUCGAAACUGGC